rnacentral:rRNA from 1 species
GUCGUCAGCUCGUGUCGUGAGAUGUUGGGUUAAGUCCCGUAACGAGCGCAACCCCUAUCCUUAUUUGCCAGCACAUUAUGGUGGGAACUAUAAGGAGACUGCCGGUGAUAAACCGGAGGAAGGCGGGGAUGACGUCAAGUCAUCAUGGCCCUUACGACCAGGGCUACACACGUGCUACAAUGGGAAGGACAAAGAGCCGCGAAGCCGCGAGGUGUAGCUAAUCUCACAAAUCUUCUCGUAGUCCGGAUUGGAGUCUGCAACUCGACUCCAUGAAGUCGGAAUCGCUAGUAAUCGUAGAUCAGAAUGCUACGGUGAAUACGUUCCCGGGUCUUGUACACACCGCCCGUCAUACCAUGGGAGUGGGUUGCACCAGAAGUGGCUAGUCUAACUUAGUGAGGACAGUCACCACGGUGUGAUUCAUGACUGGGGUAAAGUCGUAACAAGGUAACCA